AGUCUGCAACUCGACUACAUGAAGCUGGAAUCGCUAGUAAUCGCGAAUCAGAAUGUCGCGGUGAAUACGUUCCCGGGUCUUGUACACACCGCCCGUCACACCAUGGGAGUUGGGAAUGCCCGAAGCCGGUGACCUAACCGAAAGGGAGGAGCCGUCGAAGGCAGGCUUGAUAACUGGGGUGAAGUCGUAACAAGGUAGC
rnacentral:rRNA from 1 species